GGUGCCAGCAGCCGCGGUAAUCCAGCUCCAAUAGCGUAUAUUAAAGUUGUUGCAGUUAAAAAGNUCGUAGUUGAAUUUCGAGACCGGUCUACUGGUCGUGCUUUUGUACGUACUGGUAUUAUUGGUUUCUCCUUUCUGACGAAUCUUAAUGCCAUUAAUUUGGUGUUUUGGGGAAUCAGGACUGUUACUUUGAAAAAAUUAGAGUGUUUAAAGCAGGCUCACGCUUGAAUACAUUAGCAUGGAAUAACGAAAUAGGACGUUUGAUUUUAUUUUGUUGGUUUCUAGGGAUCGACGUAAUGAUUAAUAGGGAUAGUUGGGGGCAUUAGUAUUCAAUUGUCAGAGGUGAAAUUCUUGGAUUUAUUGAAGACUAACUACUGCGAAAGCAUUUGCCAAGGAUGUUUUCAUUAAUCAAGAACGAAAGUUAGGGGGAUCGAAGACGAUCAGAUACCGUCGUAGUCUUAACCAUAAACUAUGCCGACUAGGGAUCGGAUGAUGUUAAUUUUUUAAUGACUCAUUCGGCGCCUUACG
rnacentral:rRNA from 1 species